rnacentral:rRNA from 1 species
AUUGAACGCUGGCGGCAGGCCUAACACAUGCAAGUCGAGCGAGCGGCGGACGGGUGAGUAAUGUAUGGGGACUGCCUGAUAGAGGGGGAUAACUACUGGUAACGGUGGCUAAUACCGCAUACUCUCGGCUAACCCAUCUUGGAGUAGCUAGUAGGUGGGGUAAAGGCUCACCUAGGCGACGAUCUCUAGCUGGUCUGAGAGGAUGACCAGCCACAGUUGGACUUAGACACGGCCCAGACUCCUACGGAGGCAGCAGUGGGGAAUAUUGCAUAAUGGGCGCAAGCCUGAUGCAGCCAUGCCGCGUGUAUGAAGAAGGCCUUAGGGUUGGAAAGUACUUUCAACGGGGAGGCGUUACCCGCAGAAGAAGCACCGGCUAACUCGGUGCCAGCAGCCGCGGUAAUUC